AGACUUGGUCGUAGAGCCACGACCAACUGGGGUAAUCUCCCCUCAAAAAAAGAACGCUCACUGAGA
rnacentral:ncRNA from 1 species